rnacentral:rRNA from 1 species
UGGGGAAUUUUGGACAAUGGGGGCAACCCUGAUCCAGCAAUGCCGCGUGUGUGAAGAAGGCCUGCGGGUUGUAAAGCACUUUAGGUGGGGAGAAAGGCUUCUGUUUGAAUAAAGUAGAAGAUUGAUGUUACCCACAGAAUAAGCACCGGCUAACUCUGUGCCAGCAGCCGCGGUAAUACAGAGGGUGCAAGCGUUAAUCGGAAUUAUUGGGCGUAAAGCGCAUGUAGGUGGUUUGUUAAGUUUGAUGUGAAAGCCCUGGGCUUAACCUGGGAAUGGCAUUGGAUACUGAUAGACUAGAGUCGGACAGAGGGCCGUGGAAUUUCCGGUGUAGCGGUGAAAUGCGUAGAGAUCGGAAAGAACAUCGAUGGCGAAGGCAGCGGCCUGGGUCCAGACUGACACUGAGGUGCGAAAGCGUGGGGAGCAAACAG